GCUGGAGGUCCCUGCCUACCUGAGGCCUUCCAAAUUACUUUCCGUUCCAUUAUAACAACCAUGGGCAAAAUUAUAUUUACUGGGCUAAGCUGUGAAGAAGAAUAAAUCUUCUGGGUUUAUGAGGCCCACCCGUAUCUUGCUGCUGUCUUACAGAGCUUUCAAAAUGAGACGGAAAAAACAGUGAGUGGAGAGGCUGUUUCUGCAUGGCCCUCCCCAUGGCUUGGUACCACGGUGGGGUACAAGGAAGGAGCAGGACCCAAACACUUGGGCAUUGUCAGGGCCCUCAUUUCACAAAGAGGAGGUUUUCUGAGAGCUGGUUAAAUUCCAUCUAUUUAAGUAUUUCCAGAAACAUUUGCAGCUGUAUUUUUAAUUUAUUGAGUACUAUUUAGUCCUGCUGUGAACUUGGUCCAGUGGGCACUCAGUGCUGACUAAAUGACUUGCUAUUAGGUAUUUUCCUCAGCUGAGUCAUUAGGAAAACUAAAUUAUAAUGUGCAUCUGUACAGCCGUUUAAUUGUCAAGUUUUAAAAUCAUUUGAGAUCAUUAAAAAUGCAGUCUGAAAUUUGAUGUGAAUGCUAUUUGCUGUCUAGAUCUCCCAUCCCAUUUUUCUAAUUAGACAUUCCAUUAUUACUGAAAUAAAAUGCAA